rnacentral:lncRNA from 1 species
CCAGCGGGACCCUCCCCCAACUCGAAGCGGGGAGGCGCGGGCCGCGGUAGGCAACGAGCGGCACACGGCCCCACCGCGGGGCCGGCGCACCCGCCCCCCACCGCCCCCAGAGGGGAGGUGGGGGGCGGGGUGUUCUGCCCACGCGCUCUUGGCAGCCGCCACGGCGGCCACUGCGCACGCAGGAGGGGCAGCAGCUGGGGGGUCCGAUACCCCAAGGCUCCCUCUCGGAUCGCUAGAGAAGGCUUUCUCACCGAGGGCUCGCCGCCCCUCACCCGGAUCGUCUCUCUCCUUCGGGCCCACGGAGGCGCUCCACGAGCCACCAGUCCUCAGCUGGGGUGGGAGGGGUCUGCGGUACAGGUAGGCGGAGCACCAACACAGGAGCGUCUGCGUGGCCGGGGCCAGCGCAGAGCCCGCGUCCCGUCCCCUGCAAGGCCUCACCCGUCAGCCUCGACGACGAGGGGAACAGGCACGCCUCUCCUACCGCCUCGACCCCCCCCAAAAGAGAGCCCACUCACGGGACACACACACACCACCGCGGUGGGGACCCGAGGAGGACACCGGGGUUAAGGGAAACGACACCACCGCUCGGCCUCAGGCACCUGAGCGACGACCUGGAGCGCUCCAGGGGCACCACCGAGGGUCCAACGAGGCACGCUCGCGCACCCGCGCGGGGGGGGGCGCAGCGCAGCAGCGGUACAGCCCUCCCCACCGCGGGGAGGGCCGCUCGCGGAGCACACGCCGGGAAGGCGAAGCGAGAGCAUCUGCUGUGUCAGAAGACCCACGGCCCCCACCGACGCCCCCCGAGGCGGGGGACAGGAGACCGAAGGUCAGGGCCAGAGGCCGCAACCCAGCCCCCGCCUUCCUCCCCCUCCCCGACGGCCAGGGGGGAAAAGUCAGGCGAGGGGCCCCGCGGACAGACCGAGAAGAGCAGACACGUUCACCGGGAACACCUGUCCCUCGUCUGGCACGGCUUAGGCCCGGCCCGGGAGAGCACGACCACACCACAUCGAUCGGAUGAGCCAAGGUGGAGCGGGGGGAAGGCACGGCGAGGACAGUCACCAGAGGGGCCCGCUUUAAGCCUCACCGGCAACCUCCGCCCCCCACCUCGCCUCAGGCGAGAGCGGCCCACGACCCCAGGAGGUUCGAGAACGCCUGACACGUGGCACGGAGCCCACAGGGCGGGGGUCGCAUCUCAGCCUUCACCGGGUGCCCGCAGCGGGGAGCGCACAGGGUAGAAGACCCACGGCGCCUCGCCCCGCCGCCCUCGGGUCGCCCAGAGACCGGAGGUGGCACCACGAGUCGGGUCAGCCAGACAACGCCACACAGGAGCCGGCGCACAGGCCCAGGCGGGCGGCUCCAGCGGCAAGGGCCGAACCGGCGACCAGAGCUGGCGGCCCGAAGGCCCAGAGCCCCGCGUACAUCCAGAGACCCAAAGUUUCCUCGGCGGCAGACACCGAAGC